UACGAAGGGUGCAAACGUUGCUCGGAAUUCAUUGGGCGUAAAGCGCACGUAGGCGGCUUCGCAAGUCGGAUGUGAAAUACCUCGGCUACAACCAAGGACGUGCAUACGAAACUGCGAAGCUUGAGUACUGAAGAGGAUCGCGGAAUUCCCGGUGUAGAGGUGAAAUGCGUAGAAUAUCUGGAGGAACACCGGUGGCGAAGGCGGCAUCCUGGACCGAAUACUGACGUGAGGAGCGAAAGCCAGGGAGGCAAACGGG
rnacentral:rRNA from 1 species